AUGGCGUCCUCCUCCUCCUCGGAAUUCGACGAUCCGUCGGCGAGGCGCCCGCCGCCGCCGCAGAGGAAGCCGCCGGUGCUGAUGCUGCUCCCGCUCAUCUACGCCCCCGUUUUGCCCCUCAUCAGGAUCGGGCUGCGGCAUAACCCGGUGUGGAGGGACCGCGUCUUCUACGGCGUCCUCGCCGGCGCAUUCGUGCAUGGCACCUACCUCAUAUCGGAACUGUACGACGUGGAGAGCAAGUGA
rnacentral:rRNA from 1 species